rnacentral:lncRNA from 1 species
AAAAAGAAAAGAAAAAAGAAAAACCCAGUCAACCUCUGCGUGUCUCCUUUACCUUCGAUACCAAGCAAUGGGCUGGCUCUGCUCGCCGAGAUCUGAGCAAAUUAAUCACGAGUUAGAGACGGAGAAAGGAAGUUUAAUUAGAUUAGCCUGCAAAUUGGAAGACAGGUGACUAAUGUCUCAAAAACUCGUCAUUACAGAUUAGAGAAUCUUGAGGCAGCUAUACAGGGAAAAUGGGAGUAAGGAGGGGGUUUCCUUCAGCCGUGACGGUCUCCAGGGUCUUUUAUGGUUCCAGUCUUCUGUCAACUGUGAUGGACCCCUUGUGGAGUCUAGCAGCCUUCUCCACUGCAAAGCACUAGUUUGCCCUUUAACCGGUAGGUAUUUUGUGGGAGAUAGUUUGAGACUAUGUAGAUAUCUUAUUCCCCAUCAGACUUUCAUUAGUUUCAGCAUCCAUUAAUGAUCUUGCUUGAAUCUAUAAAUACAGAUCUUCCUCGACUUAAAUGGAGUUACGUCCCAAUGAAGCCAUCGUAACUUGAAAAUAUCGUAAGCUGAAAUGCAUUUAACAUGUGCAAACCACCGAGCGCCACAGCUUAGCCCAGCCUGCCUUAAAUGUGCUCAGAACCCUUACGUUAGUCUGCAGUUGGGCAAAGUCACCUAACACAAAGUCUAUUUUAUGAUCGUGUGCUGAACGUCUCAUGUAAUUCACUGAUUACUGGACUGAAAGUGAGAAACAGAAUGGUCGUGUGGGUGCAGAAUGGUUGUCAGUGUAUGGGUUGUUUACCCUCGUGAUCGCGUGGCUGACGGGGAGCUGCGGGUGCUGCUGCCGCCCAGCAUCACGAGAGAGGAUCCGACGGCAGAUCGCUAGCCCUGGAAAAGAUCGAAACGCAAAAAGCGAAGCACGAUUUCUACUGAAUGCCACUUCUAAUGAAGUGGGACCACUGGAAGUCGGGGACCAGCUGUAUGACGUUCGUCAAACAGCGAUUUUCUAACUUCGUUCCAUUUACAAUUAUUUGGUAGUAUUCCACUAUGAGAAAAAGCAUUUCUUCCUC